GGAGGGGGGCCUGGCACACUUGGGGCUGCUUUGGGGCCCAGGCUGGAGGAGGACCAGGCUCAGCUGGGGCUGCUUUGGGGCCUAGUCCGGAGGGAGGCCCGGCACAGCCAGAGCCUUGUGGCAGCAGUCCAACUCUCAAGUUCAACCUUUAACCAUAACCUAAAACGGUAACCGUAGUGAAAGGUAGUGGCAGAUAGAGCUGCUUUACUGUGUUUUAAUUUUCCCAAGAAUGGUGAAGGACUCAAGCUAGUAAAGAAAGACCCCUUUCUGAAGAGCAGGACUCAGAAGGUAUUACCAGAGAGCAGAUCUCCCAGUAGAGAUUCUUCCCCUUAGACAGCCAGCCCUUAAAUGAGGUUAGGGAGGGCUGGGACCAGGCUCCACCCCUUUUCUGCACAGGUGAAACGCUUCCAGCUGUGCUCCGCAGCAGACCAUGUUUUAACAAAGGUGAAAGCCUGUGAAACAAAAGAAUCCCUUCUUACUUGUUUCACGUUUGUGUUUGUUGACCGCAGUUCCAACCAGGUGGACUCUCAAUGUCUUGCAAGCGACACCUAGAAGCAGGUACAGGCAGGAGGCACAGCACCCUGCAACCUCCAGGGGCCUUUGUGCAAAUGUUCAUGUCCUAGAAGCACGUGGCGGAGCACGUCCUGGGAUCAAGGUGCCAUGGACUGGAAAAUGCAGCUCUGGACAUACAGGCUUGGCGGAGUUCCUGUGUGAAGACAAAACUCCCAGUACUCCAGAAACGUGGAGGCAGAAGAGCAGUGACAAGUUCCAGUCGAAGGUCUCUGUUCAGCCAGUCCAGGAGUGCGUGGGCAGACAAAGAAGCGUUGUGCAGGCAGGGAAAAAUGAGUGCUGUGGGUCCUGGGAGCAGCAAUGCGUGAGGCUCCUCCUGCUAGUGCUCUUCCGCUGGAACGUCCCUUUGGUUUUCUACUUGGGAGAAUAUUUGAACCCGUUGAAAAGGGUCUGACUUGAAGCGAGGGUGCAGAGCAGAUUUAACCUCUGCAGGCGUGUAUGCCAGAGCAUGAAGCAUCGUCAACAAGCACGGGGUAGCACCAGCUUGAAACAGGGGAAGCUUCCACAGAGCCCCCAGAUGGAGUCCCAGGGUGAUGAGAUGAAGCUGAUUUUGGCAGCAUUAAAGGUGGUUUUCCAGGAUCUGUGCCUUCUAGGGCUGGGGGCUGUCACUGGGGUUGCUUUCACAGGACACCCCCCAGCCCACCUCAGGACCCACGGGGAGUCUGUCGGUGACAAAUGUGUCACUGAGUGACAGCAUCAGGGUGGGAAUGUGUGGAACACAGUGCCCAGGGCAGAGCCAAGCGGCGCUGGGGGGGGGUCAGCCCCAAGGAGAAAGCCUCCCCCAUGGAAGAAAUGGAUUGCUUAAUGCCGUGGGUGAGAUGUUGUAGAAGAGCAAAUUAAUGAGGUUAAAAGGUGCCGCCCGGGUACUGUGGGAACCUCCUCCCACCCUGCAAGUGCUGUCCAAAGCUCUCCAGUGCCCCCUGCUGCUCUUUGCAGUUCCCCACUAAGCUCCCGUUGUCUCCCAGUAUUGUCCAGAGUCUCCUUGUGCAAACUCAGUGCCCCCCAGUGCUGCCUGGAGCCACCCCAGUGCUGUAUGCGGCCCUCAGUAGCCUCCCAGUGCCCCCCAGUGGACUUCCCAGUGCCUCCAGUAGUGCCCAGUGCCCCCAGUUCAACACAUGCACUGCUCAGCACGUGACCGUCGCCUUCCCCAGGAACAAAACAAGGCAACAGAGACGUUGACAGCAGCGAUGGUGAUGGAGAUGUUCAGACUGGAGGAGCUCUUGGCUCGCUGCAGCCACCCCAGCAUCCCCAGAGCUCCCUGCUGGCCCUGGAGGAGUCAGAGUGCUCUGUGAUGGAAGAAGAGGAGUCGAGGCUGCUGGAGACAUCUGGGCUCAGUGGCUCCGUGGCAGUGAUGCACUGCAUCAGCUCUUCCAUUUGGCAGCUGUUCGCAG